rnacentral:rRNA from 1 species
UACGGGGGGGGCAAGCGUUGUUCGGAAUUACUGGGCGUAAAGGGCGCGUAGGCGGCCUAUUAAGUCGGACGUGAAAUCCCUCGGCUCAACCGGGGAACUGCGUCCGAUACUGGCAGGCUUGAAUCCGGGAGAGGGAUGUGGAAUUCCAGGUGUAGCGGUGAAAUGCGUAGAUAUGUGGAGGAAUACCGAUGGCGAAGGCAGCCCCCUGGGAUAACACUGACGCUCAUGCACGAAAGCGUGGGGAGCAAACAGG